rnacentral:tRNA from 1 species
GCAGGGGUGCCACAGUGGUCAACUGGGGUAGCUUGAGGGGCUAUCGGCUUAGUGCCUGCGCAGGUUCGAAUCCUGUCCUCUGCA